CCUGACUCCAUGUUUUCACUUGGAUGGACCCGAUGGGAUUGAUUCCAAGGAGAUUAGCUGCAGAUCCAUCUCCCACUUUGCUUAUGACGAAAAGUUUGUUUGGACUUUCUCACCAGGCUCUGGAAUAUUAUUCUGGAGAGUGAAGUCAGCCUGAAGGAUGUGGACUCACAGAUUCAGGGAAGCCAGCCUUCUUGAGGCAAUUAGGUUCAACACAGCUCAAUUCAACAAAUCUUCACUGAGUGCUUAACCUUGUGGAGGGGCUGGGUGAGGCACUUUGGGUGCCCCAGCACAUAAGCCCCAAUGGUACUUCCCCUCCUGCCGGGCCACUACCUGAAGAUGCUGUAAUAGGUGUGUGAACCUCCUGGUUUCCUCCCGCAUCCUAGCUUCCUCUCUGCCAUUUGUUGUGUGAUUCUGAUCUCAAGUGCAGUUGACCAAGUGGAUCAUAUUCUUCAUUUCCUGAUAUGGAAAGAAAUGAAGAAUGAUGGACCCAAUGACUGCCAACUUGUUUUGGAGAUGUUAUUAUUCCUCAUGGAGGAGAGGG
ensembl:lncRNA